ACCUGUUACACAAUACAGCGCUGUUCAGUAGUAGGAGGAAAAAGAGCCAGUUUAGUCACUGCACAUUUACACAAGCUGUCUGCUAGCAUGUGUGCAGUGUCAACUAAAGCCAGAAACUCUUUGCAAGUACUUCCAAGCAAAUACUUCCAAGCGAGUACUAGCGAUGCAUUACAAAGUACAGCACUGUGCAUACUGUUUUCAGUCAACUGGCUGGAAAAGAAGAAGGUCUGCGUUAAUGCUGGUUCUACGUAUGCCAAGACUAAAAAUGUCCAAUUGCAUAGAGCCCAAUUCAGAUCUAACGCAUUACUGCCGGCGUGCGCUAAAAUGUGAGGCUCUUUAAAUCUAGCAAUUCACUUUGAUUUAAGCAAUUAAACAAUCGCGGCGCUCCUAAUGGACCGACUAAUAACGUUUCUUUAAAAUUCAUUUAACCACUUUGGCUCUGAAUGUCAAAAGCUUUUACAAGCAGCUUUACAAGUUAGACGGGGGGCAUCUGAGGGAGCCAGUGCAGCGCAGCACUAAUCACCGGCCAAUUUAGAGCUGUCACUCAAACGCGUUUCUUUCAUGAUUCGAAAACAUCCACUUACAUUUCACAGAAUGCCUCGACGUAACCGCCUUAAACGUCCCCACAGGAUUAAUAUUCCCACCGAACAUGCGCUCCGCACGUGGACCCGUGAAACAAGUAGGCAAAUCGAGAUGAAGAUGCGUCUCGCUUUCUUCUAAAGCUGGAAAUCAAAAGCGAGCCGUCUAACGUCGUAUACCUUGAUCCUUCACUUGAUAGGUGUUGAUGAGUGGAAGUGAAUCCCUGUGGUCUCGUUAUGCGUCCACCGAAAGCCUCUCCCAGGUUUGAUGUUUGAUCAGUUGAGUGGCCUUGCGUUUGACUGCUUUCUUCUUAGACUGGAGAAAAACCUGACAUUCCCAAGACACAACCAGAUCUGGAGGAUUUUCUUGGUUCCUGAGGAGCAUGUUUCAUAAUCAGCGUUUGGGAUUGACUACCGGUACAAAAAAACAUCAGACAGAAGUGGAUUAACUACUAUAUGAAUGGACAGACAGACCGACAACCGGCCUCCGCCACGGAUUGCAGGAGAUUGAAACCAACUCCGGAGAUAAUUCACGAGCCAGUAAAAACGUGGUCCCCCGACAUCUUUCCCAGAGGCAAUUCGGAAGACGUGAAAGUCAUAUAUCAUAAGUCAUGAACCGUCCUUUGUGGAGCUUGGCGGAUGACACCGUUUCAUAUGGAUGGUAACUCGUAUAGAAAAGAAUAAGGGAACCAAAGAGAACCAAACCUGAGCGGACACCGAGCUGCCUACCUAGAGAGCAAUUUAAGGCAUCACUGGUGCAUUCCCAACAUAAAGCCCAUGCCAAAAAGUAAGCAGAAACAUUUUGCUGACAAAUCUGACAUUGAGAGAGCAAUCCAAACCCAGAGAGAUGAAAAUAAAAAUGUGUAAUCUAAAAGUCAAGAUGAAUUUCAGUUUUCUGCAUCACGGAAAUUGCAAGACCCUAAGUAUGCGAAACAGCUCGUAUAGAACAACACCUCAUGCCUUAUUUAACUAAGACUGCACGGGUCAGUGAAUAUCAAUGACCUUUACUUAUGAAUAAUGAAAACUGAUGACAUUUAAUCUUAAAUGUCUAAACACAAUCAAUCAGUAUAACCUUUUUAGUUUAGUGUGAGUGCCUCAUAAUUAUUGA